GAUGAACGCUAGCUACAGGCUUAACACAUGCAAGUCGAGGGGCAGCAUGGUCUUAGCUUGCUAAGGUCGAUGGCGACCGGCGCACGGGUGAGUAACGCGUAUCCAACCUACCUUACACUCUUGGACAGCCUUCUGAAAGGGAGAUUAAUACAAGAUGUUAUCAUGAGUAAGCAUUUUCGCAUGAUUAAAGGUUUACCGGUGUAAGAUGGGGAUGCGUUCCAUUAGAUAGUAGGCGGGGUAACGGCCCACCUAGUCUUCGAUGGAUAGGGGUUCUGAGAGGAAGGUCCCCCACAUUGGAACUGAGACACGGUCCAAACUCCUACGGGAGGCAGCAGUGAGGAAUAUUGGUCAAUGGACGAGAGUCUGAACCAGCCAAGUAGCGUGAAGGAUGAAGGUUCUAUGGAUUGUAAACUUCUUUUAUACGGGAAUAAACGAAUCCACGCGUGGAUUUUUGCAUGUACCGUAUGAAUAAGGAUCGGCUAACUCCGUGCCAGCAGCCGCGGUAAUACGGAGGAUCCGAGCGUUAUCCGGAUUUAUUGGGUUUAAAGGGAGCGUAGAUGGGUUGUUAAGUCAGUUGUGAAAGUUUGCGGCUCAACCGUAAAAUUGCAAUUGAUACUGGCAGUCUUGAGUACAGUUGAGGUAGGCGGAAUUCGUGGUGUAGCGGUGAAAUGCUUAGAUAUCACGAAGAACUCCGAUUGCGAAGGCAGCUUACUAACCUGUAACUGACAUUGAUGCUCGAAAGUGUGGGUAUCAAACAGG
rnacentral:rRNA from 1 species